UUUCAGCCUCUGUUACCCUCAGGAAUGAGAUAUCAGCUAAAGUCACAAGCAGAAGUGAGACUGUAGUGCUUGUAACUUGUGUGAUCAAGCGGAGUGAAUGCACUCACAGUAGUACCUCUGUCCACUGUUUCUUUUGCAGCUGCAAAAGUGGCCUUGAGGGUCUCUCCAUCCACACCAGCAGAGCGGCUCAGCCAGAACAGGAGAAAGAAGAGGACAAGGGAAGACAUGUUCCAGGAGAUCCUGAGAGCCUCGGUGCUUCAAAUACCGAGCAGAGGGCUGGGAGGAUGAAGUUCAAGGACACAAUGGACAGGGAUAGUGAGGACAGGAGAAACAGGCAGCAAGAAAUGAUAACACUUCUCAGGGAGCAAACAGACACGCUGCAGUCUCUGACUGACCUUCAGGCUCAACAGAUCCAUUCUCACCUCCCCCCACAGCCCACAGAGAACUGCAUUCCGGGACCACCCUGCAUCUGGGACCAGUGCAAUAAUCCUACCACUCCACCCUGAGGGAGAGUACAGAAAUCACAGCGGCACAUACACCAACUGUCUCUCUCACAGGCCCAGAGCUUGACAAGUGGCUUGCAACAUCUCAGCGCUGCGCUGAACCUGGAUCUUGGAGCGGCCCUUGAAGAGACAGUCUUCGAGGUAUGGGUAAAUCUGGAUACCCCAACGUCUGAGUGCCAGGCCAUCGAAUGGGAGUUCCUGGAUGGAUUGUUGAACCUCCAUUGAUAGGCCUGAUGACUGCAACCAGGAUGCGCGCCUCAUGGAAAUGGUCUAAGCCAUGAUCUGUGCCGCAGAAUCUGCCGCAUCUGAGGCUGCUUGAGGGCGCCUUGGCUACAGAUCUGCCCUCAUCGAGGAUAGCCAAGAAUUCCUUCCUGGGCUCCUCUGGCAGCGAAUCUGCAAACUUGGGCAUGGACUACCAAAUAUUAAAAUCAUAACUGCCAAGUAAGGCCUGAUGGUUGGCCAC